ACUAUCGAUCCUUAUGCACUUCACCUUCAAUACAGCAACCUUUCAUUGUAUUCCCUCCAACCUUCAGGCACAUAACAUAGAGUUACAAGAGGACUUUAACAGCACGACCAUCUCCUUUCCAGCAGCUGCUCAGAGCUUCUCUCCAAAUCAUAUUCCUCAACACGCUGGAUGUAUUUCACCACACUUUGGGAGGUUAACCUUGGGGGAUCGGUUCAGUCAUGUCGUCCCUCAGUUCUGUGGGCUGCUAAGUGUAUAAAUUACAUUAUUUUAGUGGUUUUAUGUCUUCUUUGAGCUUCUGGUGACGGAGAUUGAUCAUGAUGUCACUCCGGGUGGCAAUUAUGUUUCUAAGCUCCUCUAUGACAGCAACUAUUAUGGUGUCAUGCUAAGGAUUUAUUCAGGAUGUCUUGGAUAUAUCCCAUGUUAUAUGGUCUGGGAAUCGGCUGGUUUUCUACCUCUCAUGGUCUCCUCACUGGUGAAGGGUUCUUAUUUCCAAGGUGUGGAGAGCUGAAGUAUUCAAUUGACGAACCGUUGAGAUUGAGGUGAGGACAAAUAAUGCGGGAAAGUGCUGUAAUGCUUCUCUAGAAAUCCCAAAAUUGGGUUUAAGAAUAGCUUAAGGGAUGCAUUUUUUUACCUGGGUAACAAGUGCAUAAAGAGGCAGGGUCACAUAGCCGCAAAGGAGCUGCACAGCCACACCCAUGGUAAUCCUUAUGGUGAAGUCCUCCAUGUUUUCAUUGAAGCAAGACCUUAGGCCAUACUCAUACUGUUAUGGCUAAUGGGUCAGCUUAGGAUGUAAAAAUCUUUGAGUUUACGAGCUUAAAAAACCUACCCAUGUCCAUGUGAAAAAUGCCAGCUGAAAUGAGUUCUGCAUAUAACACAGUCCUGAUCAGUGUGUUAUCAUCAUAUCAUGUAUAGAGAAAUCCAUUUUUGCAUAAACUUCAUUUCUGUAUUUCAAGUAACGUUUGCUAAUUUGUGGACACUCACACAAGUCAACCUGAACUUUUGAAAAAAAUUUAAAUUUAUUGUGGCUAUAUAUUGUUUGCCAUUUUUGCUGUAUGAAUUUUUCUUGUAGUAGGAAGGUUUAAGCUGCAUUAUUUUCUUAUUAUCUAUGUGUGUCUUCAUUUAAGGGGCAAGUUAAUAUCCUUUCCAUGGUUUAGGGCAAGGCACAUUGUUGGCAAUAUGCAAGAAGAUGCACCUUGUCAAUCUAGGAACUAUAUGGUACUCUAUUAGUGAAUUCUGUUUCUUCUACUACGUUUUGAUAUCAGUUUGGGCUGAUUUCCUCAUUUUUUUUAAUGUAUUAUGCCUAUUUGUAUAACAUAUUCAAAAGGACAACAUACUAUGGCCGUGUCAGAUUUCAUGGGGGCUUAUGGAUGGAUGGUCAAGACCUUUAAGUCGUUGGAUUGUAGAUGAUAUGCUUUUCAUUCAAUUAGUCUUAUAUAAGCAAUGUUUGUGAUAUUCUGUACCUGGAUUAGGAUAAGCUGGAGUAGAUGGAGAAGCCAAUCAGGUCUACCAAACCAGAAAUAACUAUCACUAGGGUUUACAAGAAAGGUUCCUUGAGUCACUGGGUUCUCCUUGCAACUUUCCACACACAUUUUGGUUAUUGUGACUUCUAGCUUUGUCCCCACAACUAGAACAAUCUUCAAUGGAAAAUAUAAAGGCAGACAAGAGUGAAGUCAGGACAAAAACAGAGAAGAAAAUGCAAUCUCUUCACUCAUGUUGUUUAAAAUAGAUGAAGUAAUAGUGUCGAUUGAUUAUACCACUAGGGGAACAAAAGGUAGCCAAUAGUGGUUGUAAAACUCUGCAAAAGAAGUCAGGUAAAACAUUGUUAAGAAUGAAAAUGUGUUUUUCUCCAAAAUAUCAAUAAAUGUAUAUAUUUAGUCAAGCAAAUAUGGAAAUUAGAUUCAAUAGAGUUGUUCCCUACCAUGUGCGCUGAAAAAUAUGAAUAGUAUGGAAAAGAUCCAGAUCCAGAACCUGCAAGAGUGAGCACCAAAAUCUUAGUCUGAAUUUGUUGUCCUCGAUAGUUAUCUUUUCUAAGGUUUCAUGCAUAUUGUCAUCACUGCUGCUAUGUUCCUUCUAUGUCUCUGAUUUUCAAAUCUUAUGCUAAUUUCCUGGGCCUAGACAACCUUGUUGUAUGUUGGCAAUGAUAUAUACCUGAUUCCAACAACCUGCUCAAAAUCAUCAUCGAAAGCCCUAGAAAGAAAUUUCUUGAAGUUGAAAUUGCUGCCUUCAGCCACAUUCGCCUGCAGAAGCAACCAAAAGGAAAUUUAGCUAUAAGCUGUCACAGAAGCAUAACACGUUACAGGGGAUUUUGGAUUCGUGAGGCUUGCUCCAGUCUGGCCUCCAAUCGUUAUGUGAGGCUCAUCAUAUUAAACUCACGUACUGGCCAAAGUAGGAGAGGGUGAUCACUCCAAAGCUUUAGAUGACGUCUCCCAAAAGAUGUUUGACGGGAAAGCUGGAACCUCUUUGGAUCUGUACAGAUGACACUAUUAUAAAUCACAGGUCACUUGGGGUAAUGAUCGGGUCGGUAAAGGAGCUCACUCAUCAAUCACAAAUCAAAGAAUUACUACUAUUACAUAUCUAGGAAGAACUCUUUAGAAGUAUUUCGAUGUUGUAAUUUUAGUUAAAUAAUUUCUUUUUACGAGAGAGAUUCAGUUCUGGUUGAGUUCACUUUUCGUUAGCUAGUGUAUGGAUUACAAGUACAGAAGGUCUCUUGGCCAUAAUGAUGUUCAUUGAAUUAUUAGUGAGACAUCUGCAUUAGUCAAUAUCGUUGGAACAGAGAUUUAAUUUCAUUCCACAUGUUCUGUUUCUCACCAUUAAUGAUCAUAUGAAGCGUGUGGUUCGAUUCAAUUGUUAUUUUUCUAUAUACGAUGUAGUUCCCAGCUUGAAGAG